ACUCAGUACUAUAGUAAUAUAAGCAAUUCGUGCAAGGGAGUAUAUAAAAUAGAGAACGAUAAGAAUCAUGGUUCCAUAUUAUCAUUAAUCGGUGGUAUAUAAAUAAGAAUACCUCAGUUUGACGUCCAGUGGUGCAAGGACACUACCACCUUCACUGCUCCCGCUCCCCAGAGAAAGACUAACAUUCUAACCAGUGUGCGUUGGUAGUCACUUGACGGUGUCUGCAGGCAAGGAAAUCACUGAAAAUGGUAACAACACCCUUCAGCUUAGGCCACCAGACGGAGGCGACAACGGAGAGUUACGGAGCCACAGAAGCCUCCACCACGGGUUAUGCCUCGGAGAGUUACGGAGCCACAGAAGCCUCCACCACGGGUUAUGCCUCGGAGCAUAAAUUCCACGCCGCGGACUGGGCAGUGUUUUCGCUGUUGCUGGUGGGGUCAGUGGGCAUAGGUGUGGUCAGCGCCGCCAGGAGCAGGAGAAAAACCACCACUCAAGAAUUCCUCCUUGGAGGAAAGAAUAUGCCACCAGUAGCAGUCGCCAUCUCCCUUUUGGGUGGUAUAAUUUCAGCCAUCUCCAUUCUAGGUAACCCAACCGAGAUCUAUUUGCACGGCACGCAGAUCACCAUCUCCCUGUUGGGCGCCAUACCGGCUACAGUCAUCAUUAACAAGAUCCUAAUUCCAGUUUUCUAUAACCUCAAUCUGGUUUCUCUUAAUGAGUACAUUGAGCUGCGUUACAAGAGCGUCGUCUUACGAAAGUUGGCCACCCUGGUGACUCUGCUGACGUUUUCUGUAUACGUGGGAUUGUGCCUGUACGCUCCCUCGCUGGCCCUCUCCACUGUCACCAGCCUCUCCACUUUGAACUCCAUGAUUAUCAUGGGCGCCAUCGUCACCUUCUACAUCACCAUCGGCGGAGUCAAGGCGGUGGUGUACACUGACGUGCUCCAGACGUUGCUCAUGUUCGGGGGCGUGUUCGCGGUGGUGGUGAUGUGCUGCAUUGACUUAGGAGGCGUCAGGGAGGUGUGGACGAUAGCGGAGCGUGGCGGAAGACUUGAGUUUUUCAACAUGGACCCCAGCCCUUACGUCCGCCACACCUUCUGGUCCACCUUCACCUUGGGAUUUUUCCUCAUUAUAAACGGAAUCGGUCUGAAUCAGACAACCUUCCAACGUUUUGCUUCCGUGAGAACACUGGAAAUUUCAAAAAGAUUGUCUUGGUUCUUCCUGUUUGGACUGUGGUGUCUCUGGUGCCUCUUCUUCUUCUCCGGCCUGGUCGCCUACGCCGUCUACAAUACGUGCGACCCUUACACCUCAGAGAAGAUCAGCAAACCAGAUCAGAUCAUUCCCUUCCUGGUAACCGACAAACUAGGACACAUUCCCGGAAUGGCAGGUCUCUUCGUGGCGUCUGUGUACGGCGGGGUGCUCAGCACACUUUCCUCCACGGGAAACUCUGCGGCCUGCCUCAUAUGGGAGGACUUUCUCAAACCUUUUCCCUACUUUUCGAACCUCAGUGAGUCCUCAGCCACCCGCGUGAUCAAGAUCUUAUCUUCUUUCACCGGCGUAAUGGCAGUGGGUCUAGGGAUGGUCAUGGGCAAGCUGGGAAAUAUAUUUCACGUUGUGCUGAGCAUAACCAGUGCCAUCGCCGGGCCCCUCUCCGGCGUGUUUUUGGCUGGUAUCCUGUUUCCUUGGGUUGAAAAAAAGGGUGCGCUUAUUGGCUUUCUGGUGUCCUUCUUCUACAAUAUGUGGAUGGUGAUUGGGAAGUUUAUAAGAGGCAGUGGACACCUAGAAAAGUUGCCGCUUUCCAUGGCCACUUGUGAGGGUUCCUUCAACACCACCCUGGAGGAUCUCGUCCACACCACCAUGGGCUCCUCUUCUCUAUACUCCACCACAGUCCCUACCACGCUCGGCAUGGAAGAGGAAGCGAACGCUAAAGGCAUUUACGACACGUCCUAUUGCUACAACGGCCUCAUUGGCGUGUCUUUCACCAUGCUGGGCGCGGGAAUCGUGUCUCUGCUGAUAGGCCCCAACCACCCCAAGGACGUAGAGGGCGGGGUGCUCAACCCGACUUGCGAGCGACUAUACAAGAAUAUAUGGUUCUGGUACCACAAAAGAAGAUUCUUCCGUAAUCGAGAGAUCAAUGAGACGCAGGACCACAGCUUAGAAAUGCGAAUGAUGCCCCAGCAUGAAUCUAAACUUCUCUCCCCUCAAUAGCCAAUACUCAGCAACAUCUCUUCGAGAAUCUGCCUCGAAUCACAGCAGAACCAAGCGAAUGCAAACUGAGGAUGUGUCUAAAGCCUGUAGGUACUACAUGCUCCAACCUCAAGAAAAACUUUUUCUUAAUUACUAUAUUACUUUCAUAAAAAAAAAAAACAUAUAAAAUGUGUCCAGAAAUAUCAUUUUCC
rnacentral:misc_RNA from 1 species